UACGGAGGGUGCGAGCGUUAAUCGGAAUUACUGGGCGUAAAGCGUACGCAGGCGGUUAGUUAAGUCAGAUGUGAAAGCCCCGGGCUCAACCUGGGAACUGCAUUUGAAACUGGCUAACUAGAGUGCGGCAGAGGGUGGUAGAAUUUCAGGUGUAGCGGUGAAAUGCGUAGAGAUCUGAAGGAAUACCGAUGGCGAAGGCAGCCACCUGGGCCGACACUGACGCUCAUGUACGAAAGCGUGGGUAGCAAACAGGAUUAGAUACCCCGGUAGUCC
rnacentral:rRNA from 1 species